GUCACUCUCUUGAUGAUGACUUCAUCGUUUCUACUUUGGUUUAUAGCUUUGUUGAGCUUUGCACUGUAUGAAAAUGGCAAAUAUCUCAAGGAUGAAAAUAAUCUGUCAAGAUGUAAGGACAGAAAUAUUUCUUCUUUCAAGGGUUUCUUCGAUCUAACUUCCACUUGCUAGCUUUUAGUCUUUCUUCCUUUCUAAUAAACUACUCUAGCUAGCUUAUUUAAUCAUGGUGAGAAAAAACACAAAUUUCACAGGUAAAAUUAAUCAAAAUCUCUCUCAUGUUCAUGUAGCACAUUGGAUCUGAUGAUCAACUAUACUACAUUUUUAAUUGUUGAUUGUUGAAUGUUAAAUGUUUUUUUUUUGACGUUAUACCGCCACCAUUUUAUACUCUAAAACUGAUCUACAAUAUUGUUGGCCUUAGCUUCUUAAAUUUGUUUAAAUAUUGUAAGUUAGUUGUAUAAGUAUAACUACAUUUUGUGAUCGAUCUUAUUCAGUUAAUCUGAAACUAUAUACAGUAUGCAUUUUCAAAACAACCAAUAUCUACUACUACUACUGCUUAGCUAAUUCGUGUUCGCAAAAUAAGCUUUUUAAGAUUAAUGUUGUGGAAAACUCAUUGAGGAUUUGGAAGUAUCACCAAUCAUUUCAAGGCAGGGACACAGGGAUAGACUAUAUGUAUCUAAUAAUGUGAAGGUGCCAAGCAAGAUAUUGAUUCACUAUAAAUAUGAUUAAGGUAUAUAUAUUAUAUAGGCAGGCAGGGAGAUAAUAUGAUUCGAGCAUUACUAGUACUCUACAUAAAAAAUUUUAAGCCAAAGGGAUAACAUAUAUAUAUUUACUGUAUCAAUUUGUGGGAGUGGAGACUGAUAGAUCCUUUAAUUGUAUUUUAGACUAUCUCUACUCACAAUAUAUCAAUUAAUAAGCUUGCUCUGUCUCAUAUCUUAAUAAAUAUGAAGCAUUUAAGUUAGGUCUUGUUAUGUUUCAUUUUGAUUUUUCACUCAUAUCUUAACAGGACCAAUCCCACCUUAUACCAUUUAUGCACCAGGCAGAGUUCCACCUCCAGGUCCCAAGGGGGAAUUCGUAGUAAGACGCUUUCAUCAUCAUCACAGCCACACGAGGGCGAUAGUUGCACUUGCAGUGAUGGGAUUCGCCGUUUUAGUUGUAUUCUUCCUCUUAUUACGACGUUUUGUGUAUAACCGCCAUGCCUCGUAGCUAGUACGUGCUUGUAUAAUGUUUGAUGAUUCUUGCUUCAACCUUGAAAGACGAUAGUGUUGUAGUAGUACUAGCAACUUUUGGACAAUUACAACUCUGUUAGCCAUGGUCUCUGUUGUUGUUUCUUGUUUGGUACUACAUCAACAAACAAUUGGUAGUUCAUAAUUAACUUGAUCUUUUGUUGUUGACUUGGUUGAAAUUUAGUGUGUUCUCCAUAUUAUACAAAAAGUUACUGCUUUAUUUCAGUAGAUCAAUGACUUGUAAAGAGAGUAGGGGCAAUGACUAUAUCAGCAACAUUAUAACAGUUUCUAAGUAUUCAUGAAUGAACUACUGGCUCCAGAAUCAG
rnacentral:lncRNA from 1 species